UUUUUAGUGCAAAACAAUGUCCGCUUUCAACGUGCAGUCUUUGAGAGGGUGUGAAGAGAACUCUCAAAUCUCUCACAGACGCCGGCUGACAAACGGGGGUUCUCGCGGCAGAAGCUGGGGUGACCCACGCACCACGCUGACGACGUGAGCUUUCGGAGUCCCAGCGCGGGACGCAGACACGCGCAAGUUGCUCGCUCAGCUGAAGCGACACCUGCAGACGCUGCCUGGAAUACGCCUGUUCAUUAGCAGCUUGGUGGAAACAGGUUCAAGAGAAUAAAAACGAAAUCGAGAGUGUGGAGACAGUGAGCCCCGAAUCCCGCUUCCUCAGAACACAGCACAAGCCCCUUGGGCGGUGCUGCCAUCCCAGCCGAGCGGGCUCACGGGACGUCAGGCGGCCCGCAGGGGUGUUUCCGUCUGUGAACGGAUUCCCGUGCAGGGAGCCAGAGGCAACGUGCACGCGCGUGGGGUGAAAUGCACACGGGUUAUCUUACCUCUCACUUCCCACCCGACUCAUCGGCUGCCACCCUGGGACCACACCCGGGUGAGUGCCCCGGCCCGCGGGUUUACUCCAUGGGAGAUUGUGCUUGGUGACAACCGUCAACCGGGCCAGCGUGACCUCCGGCAGGAAAGGGCGGGCAGACAGAAAGCACAGGUGUGGCCAAAGGGGUUCCCAGCUCCCACGUCAGCUCUCAGCUGUCGUGUCGCUGACCCGGGCCCUGUAGGUCCGCUGCCCCGGGGGGACUGAGGCCCACUUGUCAUGCCGGCCCACGGCUUUCUGAACUUUCCUUCCCAGCGCACCGCACGCAUCCCGGGCGGUGACCGUGUCGCUGUCCGCACUGGCACACGUCUUCCUCCUCCUCUGGUUGCCAACCUCCAGAGCUGGGGAUUUCUCUGCUCUUUCUUCACUCCCACCCACACCGCUCACAGGCACCCGGAGGUCCUCCAAAGAGGUUUCGUGAACAAAGGCCCAGGACACGCUGGACACACCCCACGGUCAAGAAACACGGUGUCUUCCAGUCUGACCUAUGAGGAGCUCUGAAUGACGGGUUUCUGUUCUUCAAAUUUAAAUGCUGACUACAGCAAGAGCAGUGUUGGGAACUGCCAGUUAUGCAACCAGCCCACCGGCAGGAAAGAUGCUGCUUCUAACAACAAACGUCCUGUCCCGAUGCAGCCCAGGACUAACUUUUCCAUGGACCCAGACAUUUUACACCCAGAAAAAGGGAACAUUCACAGUUGCAGAACCGUUGAGUACUUGCAGUUAAAUAAAGGUAACACUGCCCAA